AUUGAACGCUGGCGGCAGGCUUAACACAUGCAAGUCGAGCGGAGAUGAGGUGCUUGCACCUUAUCUUAGCGGCGGACGGGUGAGUAAUGCUUAGGAAUCUGCCUAUUAGUGGGGGACAACAUUCCGAAAGGAAUGCUAAUACCGCAUACGUCCUACGGGAGAAAGCAGGGGAUCUUCGGACCUUGCGCUAAUAGAUGAGCCUAAGUCGGAUUGGCUAGUUGGUGGGGUAAAGGCCUACCAAGGCGACGAUCUGUAGCGGGUCUGAGAGGAUGGUCCGCCAACCUGGGACUGAGACGCGGCCCCGAGUCCGACGGGAGGCAGAAGUGGGGAAUAUUGGAAAAUGGGGGGAACCCUGUUCCAGCCAUGCCGCGUGUGUGAAGAAGGCCUUAUGGUUGUAAAGCACUUUAAGCGAGGAGGAGGCUACUGAGACUAAUACUCUUGGAUAGUGGACGUUACUCGCAGAAUAAGCACCGGCUAACUCUGUGCCAGCCGCCGCCGUAACAC
rnacentral:rRNA from 1 species